UUUCACGGUUAAUACUGCUGGCAUAACAAUGUUUCUAGAAGAAAUCUGUGAACUUUAAUGCCACAUGUUGUACCUUAAUGAACAAAGCUGUAUUUAAAAACAGUUCUCUUCCAUCAGGGCUUAUAGAUGUGAGGAAUAAACUUGGAGGAACUUUGUGGCAGCUACUGUGAGCUUUACUGGCUACUUGGGAGAAAGAUGAAGAAAUCCAUUGCUUGGAAUUCAACUUCCCAGACCCAUGAAUUUUACCUUGCAUCAUACUCCUAAGUUGUCUCAUGGAUGUGUGUUCUAGUUAGAUGAGAUUAACCAGGUUCAGCGCACUCAUCUAGUGGCACAUUAGAGUUUGCUGCAUUUCUGCUAAUGUGGCUUUUUUAAUGACCAUCUCUUGUUGACUGAAGUUCAGACAAAACCAAAAAGUUGAGUGAAGGAGGAAGAUAAUCAAGGUUAUAUAUAUACAAAGGUUUGGCGACUGUCACCGCUAUUAAAGAUAGUACUUGGACACUGUAGUUCUGAAUCUGCAAAUACAUUGUCUUCAGGCAGAAGGGAAAGUUCUUGGCUCUUCUUGCAUAAACUUUUGCCAGCCUGGGAAGAUAAGACUGGUGCAGUUACUAGUGUAAUUAAUGCUGCUGAUGUUGCAUGAUGUGAUCAUCCUUACUGACAGUGAGUAUAUAAGGGUUGCACAAUUAGCCAUUCUGUGGACAACUCUG